CUAUUUUGGAAGAUGGAGCAGGUGAUAGUCGGUGGAUUUGAAUAUCUGUGACAGCAUAGCUGAAGAACUGCAGAAUACAGAGAACGCCACCUUUUCUGCAAAUAACCAUAUUAGCAGAACAGCAAAGUACAGAGGAUCCCAGCCACAGACUGCACUUGUGCUGCAAUGCAGGAUGCAUUCCUGAGGAAAGAGAAUUUCAGGGACCAGUCAAGAGUAUUGCUCACACAAAGCGUGAUCUUUUAGGUUUCAGCAACUAUUACAUACUUAUGGUACAGUAGUGCCUGAAAGCCUCAGUCACUCUCCUGUAUAUGAGCACACCACUUACCUGCAGUGGGAAAACUUCUGAAGAUCAUCCCGAAGACCUUGGCCUCUGAAACACCAGGU